UCUUGCGCAAUGGGCGAAAGCCUGAAGCAGCCAUGCCGCGUGAAUGAUGAAGGUCUUAGGAUUGUAAAAUUCUUUCACCGGGGACGAUAAUGACGGUACCCGGAGAAGAAGCCCCGGCUAACUUCGUGCCAGCAGCCGCGGUAAUACGAAGGGGGCUAGCGUUGCUCGGAAUUACUGGGCGUAAAGGGAGCGUAGGCGGACUGUUUAGUCAGAGGUGAAAGCCCAGGGCUCAACCUUGGAAUUGCCUUUGAUACUGGCAGUCUUGAGUACGGAAGAGGUAUGUGGAACUCCGAGUGUAGAGGUGAAAUUCGUAGAUAUUCGGAAGAACACCAGUGGCGAAGGCGACAUCCUGGUCCGUUACUGACGCUGAUGCUCGA
rnacentral:rRNA from 1 species